AGCGAACGCUGGCGGCAGGCCUAACACAUGCAAGUCGAACGAACCUUUCGGGGUUAGUGGCGGACGGGUGAGUAACACGUGGGAACGUGCCUUUAGGUUCGGAAUAACUCAGGGAAACUUGUGCUAAUACCGAAUGUGCCCUUCGGGGGAAAGAUUUAUCGCCUUUAGAGCGGCCCGCGUCUGAUUAGCUAGUUGGUUGAGGUAAUGGCUCACCAAGGCGACGAUCAGUAGCUGGUCGGAGAGGAUGAUUAGCCACAUUGGGACUGAGACACGGCCCAAACUCCUACGGGAGGCAGCAGUGGGGAAUCUUGCGCAAUGGGCGAAAGCCUGACGCAGCCAUGCCGCGGGAAUGAGGAAGGUCUUAGGAUUGUAAAAUUCUUUCACCGGGGACGAUAAUGACGGUACCCGGAGAAGAAGCCCCGGCUAACUUCGUG
rnacentral:rRNA from 1 species